rnacentral:tRNA from 1 species
AGUCUUGUAUUCAAAAAUGAUAACAGAAUGCAAUUCUGUAGGAGUAGAAUAUAAUCUAUUAAGACUU